rnacentral:lncRNA from 1 species
GUUGUCCAUAAAUAACAAUCACGAGUUCACGACCGACCAUUCAACAACUGCAUCAAUCCUACUUAAGAAGGGGAUCAACGAGCCAUGUGCGUAUCCAAGCCGGAAAAUAUAAGUUGCUCACAUGAAUUGGGGGGAGAGGAACCAUCGCGUCAUCAAUCCUCAUGCACACCGCAUACCCAGUUAUUCAACGAGGAUUGAUAGCAGGCCUAUAGGUUAGGUGGCAUGGAAACCGGCCGGUGAACCACACUGGAUUAGGAGGUAUUAGGAAUUACGUUCACCCAUUGCAUAAGCUUUGCCCAACAAGAUCACAGUGUGAUACACACAACGGUUUCACACCGGUUACGAGUGCAGCAUGGGUUAGUCUUCCUUGCAUAGCCCAUAUGAAUGUUCCCCGUCGGAUCUGGUACCUCUGCUUCUUCCUUAGAAGCUCCAGUGAUUCACGCCCAUCAACUGAUGCAAAUCAUCGACUCGUGGCCCCAGGUGUUGGCGCGAGUGCCGCGAGAAUCGCGUGAAGACACUGACGAUUGUCGCUAUUGGGCUGCGCUGUUUGGCUAGAGAGAAAUAUCAGUCUUUGAUCUUGUCGUCUUGAGAAUGAAGACUGUAGUGUCAGGGGUUAAAGAUGAACACUUCCAGUUCGAUACAACCCUUAAACACAUUAACGGAUGAGAUCUCUUCAUACCCUUCAUAAUAAAGUGAAGGCUGUAGCGUCACGGGCUAAAGAUGAACACUUUCGCUUCGAUAAAACCCCUCUAAACACAUU